CAAAAUAUCAUUUCACAUGGAGGAGAUAUUCAGCUCUUAAGUUGGGUAAUUACCAACAUACCCCAUUUGAAUCUACACUAACUAAAUGGAGGUUUGCAGCCAAACCAGAAGGAAUUAGGCAAUGAACCGACUUGGUUUGUAAUCUUGACCCAUCAGAGAAACCAAGAAAACUGGAUUCAUCAAGGCCAGUUCAGAUGUGAAAGUUAUUCAGUUUCCAAAUCGGAUAGUUCUCGACAUGUCUCAUCUCGAACCUUACUAUAACUAGGGUACCAUAAGGACAUCUCAAAAUUUAUUCUCAGCCAUUGUAUCAGGAUGAUUCAACUCUUACACCAAGACCUUCCAUAUUUGGACCUAAGUGCAUUCACACGGGACCAAUUGUUUAGAUACUUUUAAUGAAAAAAAAAUCCGAGAUACUUUCAUUUAUUCUACAUACUCUACUGAACUAAGAGAAUUCCAAAUUUACCUUUUUACUUUCUCUCUAAUUUCUAAAUACUCUGUUCGCGGAUACUCCUUCUGCGGACAAGAUCGCCAUGUUCGAGAUGUCGAAAAAGUUAUAUUUCCCAAAUAUAAGAAUAAAUGAUGAAACCAGUGAUCUAGACAAUUAUGUGGCCCAGUACAACCAGUGUAUGCUUACUACAACUAUCCAGAAACAAUUCUUGGAAGCUAUCAUUGCAAUGGUAUCAGCUCAACUCUGAUCCGGUCCGUCCUGCAAUGGUACAUCAACUUGUCCAAUGGAUCGAUACAUUCCUUCGCAGCUCUAACCGACCAGUUUGUGAGAAAAUUUGCAUGCACAAGAAACCAAGCUGAAUCCCUGCGUAACUAUACAAUAUGUUUCAACCAGGAAAAGGUAUUCUACCUUCAAGAGAGACAUGUUGCUUGAUGCUGAUAUGUACAAAGAGUUAAUCAAGUAUCAGUGCAGAACCAUGGCAGACGUCACAUCCCGAGCAUGGGCAGAAGUAAAAUGGGAGGAAGAUUCAGCAUACCAGUUCAAGCAUUUCCAAAAGCAUGAAUCCUAAGUUCCUGAGAAAUAAGAAAAACGAAAAAGACAAUAAACCCUAUCAUAAGCCAGAGAAAUAAGUAGAUAGUACAUCGUGGGAGAUACCACAAUCGACCUAUAGACAAAACUGAAGGAAUGGUAAUACAUACAUGUCAGACAUCUCUAAUCUAUCAAUCUCAAAUCGAAAUUAAUCAACAUUCUGAGUUUGAUAAGUCCCUCAAAUUAAGUUACCCAAGAAGAUGAAAAUACCAAAAACAUUAUGAGAUAUACAUUGAUGGUGUGUAUUUUAUAUAGACUAAGAGAUAGAAUUUAACACAAGACCGUAAUGGAAAUAACAAAAUAGGAGUCGAACUUAGAUUUAGUUAACGAAGGAGAGACGCCUCCAUGGAUCUUCAUUGCUUCAGCAUCUUCGAUCAACCUUCUCCUCUCUGAAGCUGCUACUAUCCUCCUCCAUGACUUCGAAGGCCAUAGCUCCUCCACCGUCGCGGUCCAGAUCUCCUCCCAACCCUCCGCCGCUAAAACUUCCUCUGCUUGGUUCUCUCUCUCCGCUUGAACCGCUGGAGCCUCCCGACCCCCACAGGCCCUCCAGACGCAUCUUUCAUUCCUACUCUCUCCCCUUUAUCUUGCUGUUUCUGUGUCUCUUUGUUGCAUCUGGUUUGUCCACGAGUCUCUUAUUUUUCUGAGUUUCUUAACCUCGUUCGCCGUCGAUAGCUACAAGAGAUGGUGUCGGUGCAGUCUCUUAAUACUUUUGGCUCUUGUGUAGCCCUUGUCCAUCUCUUAUGACUUCACUAGUUCAAUGAAUAUCUCAGGCUGAUCAAAUCAAAAGCAGAUGAUCUUGCUCUCCUUGGCAAACCAAUGAGGAUCUCACCGAAAGAAUACUUGCAGGACUUGGUGAUGAGUACAAGCCUGAAGUUGAUGCUAUCCAUGGCCGUGAUGUGGCCAUCUCGUCAGAACUCCAUGAACGCCUACUAAACCGGGAAGCUAUUAUCAUAUCCACUGAGACAGCUCCAGUCACUCCGAUUGUUGCUCAUGCUGCAGAUACUCGUCAAAACCACAACAGCAACCAGAACUGGCGCAACAGAAACAAUCAACAAUGGCGUAACAACAAUCAGACUCGCCACUAUCAGAACAACAACCAGCAGCGCUCCUCCAAGCCGUACUUAGGCCGCUGUCAAGCCUGCGGAACACAAGGCCACAGCGCCAGAAACUGUCCUGAUUUUUCGUAUAAUAAGAGGAGUGGCUCAGAUGCCUCAACAACAAAGGAGCAACAACACGUGGAACAAUGCUCCACAGUUCCAACAGUGGCCCCCGAGUACUAACCCAGUUAUGAUGUCUGACUCCUCAACGUGGCUAUUGGACUCCGGUGCCUCACACCACAUGACAUCCGACCUAGCAAACCUGUCCAUGCAUAACCCUUACAGUGGUGGUGAUGGUGUUCUCCUGGGUGAUGGCUCUGGACUCCACAUUUCACACUCUGGUGAGGGACUUGGAAACAGGGAGACUCCAUCUCGAAGGGAAACCUAGAGAUGGAACGUACCAUUGGCCACAAUCCCCAGCAUCAAAACCCUUACUAGCUUUUGCAUCUGCCGUGAAGACAACCUUGUCGGAUUGACAUUCCGUUUAGGACAACCAGCAUUUUCAAUUCUUCAAAAAGUUGUUUCUCAAUUUCAAUUACCCAUUGCUUCAAAUGUUUUAAUGGCUCAGCCAUGCUCUGCUUGCUCUAAUAAUAAAAUGCAUAAGUUACUUUUUCAAAACUCAACUCUUCGAUCUUCACAACCCCUAGAUGUAGUAUUUUCAGAUGUGUGGACUUCUCUCAUAAUUUCAAUCGAUGGUUUCAAAUACUGCGUUAUUUUUGUAGAUCACUACGUUUGUAUCCUUUAAAAAUGAAGUCCCACAUUUUUUAUGUUUUCACCCGGUUCAAAGUCUUGGUUAAAAAUCGAUUUCAAUCUAAGCUAAGGACCUUAUACACCGACAAUGGAAGUGAAUAUAUUGGGCUAUGAGACUUUUUAGCUCAACAUGGCAUCUCUCAUAUGACAAGUCCGCCUCAUACGCCAGAACAUAAUGGCAUCGCAGAACGUCGACA